rnacentral:rRNA from 1 species
AUUGAACGCUGGCGGCAUGCUUUACACAUGCAAGUCGGACGAGUGGCGAACGGGUGAGUAACGCAUCGGAACGUACCGAGUAAUGGGGGAUCACUGUCCGAAAGGACAGCUAAUACCGCAUAUUCUUCGAUCGGCCGAGGUCUGAUUAGCUGGUUGGCGGGGUAAAGGCCCACCAAGGCGACGAGCAGUAGCGGGUCUGAGAGGAUGAUCCGCCACACUGGUACUGAGACACGGUCCAGACUCCUACGGGAGGCAGCAGUGGGGAAUUUGGGAAAAUGGGCGCAAGCCUGAUCCAGCCAGACCGCGUGUCUGAAGAAGGCCUGCGGGUUGUAAAGGACUUUUGUCAGGGAAGCGGUACCUGAAGAAUAAGCACCGGCUAACUACGUGCCAGCAGCCGCGGUAAUAC